rnacentral:rRNA from 1 species
GGCCUUGACAUACUAAGAACUUUCCAGAGAUGGAUUGGUGCCUUCGGGAACUUAGAUACAGGUGCUGCAUGGCUGUCGUCAGCUCGUGUCGUGAGAUGUUGGGUUAAGUCCGCAACGAGCGCAACCUUUUCCUAUUUGCCAGCGGGUAAUGCCGGGAACUUUAAGGAUACUGCCAGUGACAAACUGGAGGAAGGCGGGGACGACGUCAAGUCAUCAUGGCCCUUACGGCCAGGGCUACACACGUGCUACAAUGGUCGGUACAAAGGGUUGCUACCUCGCGAGAGGAUGCUAAUCUCAAAAAGCCGAUCGUAGUCCGGAUCGCAGUCUGCAACUCGACUGCGUGAAGUCGGAAUCGCUAGUAAUCGCGGAUCAGAAUGCCGCGGUGAAUACGUUCCCGGGCCUUGUACACACCGCCCGUCACACCAUGGGAGUUUGUUGCACCAGAAGUAGGUAGUCUAACCGCAAGGAGGACGCUUACCACGGUGUGGCCGAUGACUGGGGUGAAGUCGUAACAAGGUAGGCGUAGAUGA